CCUACGGGAGGCAGCAGUGGGGGAUAUUGCACAAUGGGGGAAACCCUGAUGCAGCGACGCCGCGUGGGGGAAGACGGUCCUCUGGAUUGUAAACCACUGUCCCCAGGGACGAAGAUGACGGUACCGGGGGAGGAAGCUCCGGCUAACUACGUGCCAGCAGCCGCGGUAAGACGGAGGGAGCGAGCGUUGUCCGGAAUUACGGGGGGGAAAGGGAGCGGAGGCGGGACUGCCAGUUGGGUGUCCAAUCUACCGGCUCAACCGGUAGCCGCACUCAAAACUGCAGUUCUUGAGUGAAGUAGAGGCCGGCGUACUUCCUCGUGUAGCGGUCAAAUGCGUAGUUAUUAGGAG
rnacentral:rRNA from 1 species